rnacentral:rRNA from 1 species
UAAGGAAUAUUGGACAAUGGGCGCAAGCCUGAUCCAGCCAUGCCGCGUGCAGGAUGAAAGUGCUAUGCACUGUAAACUGCUUUUGUUUGGGAAAAAACCCCUGGUUUCUACUGGGGCUGAUUGUACCAAAAGAAUAAGGGACGGCUAACUUCGUGCCAGCAGCCGCGGUAAUACGAAGGUCCCAAGCGUUAUCCGGAUUUAUUGGGUUUAAAGGGUGCGUAGGCGGACUAUUAAGUCAGUGGUGAAAGCCCCAAGCUUAACUUGGGAACUGCCAUUGAUACUGAUGGUCUUGAGUACAUUUGAGGUGGGCGGAAUGUGUCAUGUAGCGGUGAAAUGCUUAGAUAUGACACAGAACACCGAUUGCGAAGGCAGCUCACUAAACUGUAACUGACGCUGAGGCACGAAAGCGUGGGGAGCAAACAGG